rnacentral:rRNA from 1 species
GACGAACGCUGGCGGCGUGCCUAAUACAUGCAAGUAGAACGCUGAAGAGAGGAGCUUGCUCUUCUUGGAUGAGUUGCGAACGGGUGAGUAACGCGUAGGUAACCUGCCUGGUAGCGGGGGAUAACUAUUGGAAACGAUAGCUAAUACCGCAUGACAUUGAUUAUCGCAUGAUAAUUGAUUGAAAGAUGCAAUUGCAUCACUACCAGAUGGACCUGCGUUGUAUUAGCUAGUUGGUGGGGUAACGGCUCACCAAGGCGACGAUACAUAGCCGACCUGAGAGGGUGAUCGGCCACACUGGGACUGAGACACGGCCCAGACUCCUACGGGAGGCAGCAGUAGGGAAUCUUCGGCAAUGGGGGGAACCCUGACCGAGCAACGCCGCGUGAGUGAAGAAGGUUUUCGGAUCGUAAAGCUCUGUUGUAAGAGAAGAACGGGUGUGAGAGUGGAAAGUUCACACUGUGACG